rnacentral:lncRNA from 1 species
GGAAGGGCCGUUGUUGGGUGUUGGACGAUGUGUUUUGUGUUUUGCAUACUAUGUCGUACGCGGGGCGGGGCCCCUGACCAUCACCUGCCCGCCCAUCCGAGUUCCCUCUCCCCCCGAUAUACACACACACAUGGUGAUCUUUUAUUACACAACAAUCGGUUCUCUGGACGUUGUGGCCAAGUAAUCCUCUACUUUUUGCAUAUGGCCCCCCCCUUCACACACACACACACGCAUUCACCCUCUUGCCAACAUCUCUAGAAAAAUCCAGCUAUUUCCUACUACUUUACUACUGGACUUCCUUCGUCGACCUGUAUGCAUGUAUGUAUGUAUGUAUGUAUGCCUCGCGGCUAGCGGUUCAUUGAACUACACACUUACACACAUUCAUGUAUAUCUACACGCAUGCAAACAGAUGAAGACCAUGUUCCGACAGCAAGCGACCCGGGCUCAGAAGCAGGCGGCGGGCAAGUCUCAGGCAGCUGGCUCCACCUACGUCAUUCCUUGAGGGGCUUGAGGCGGGGAGGAAGAGGAGUUGAGGGGGAAAAGAGGAGGGUUCGGGGGGUUUGGGAGGAGAGGGGGGUUGGAUGAAGAGAGAGAGAGGGGAGGAGGAGGAGAGGGAAGGGCACACGAUGUACUCUUUCAAUUGGCUUUGAAAGAAAGGCAAAAUGAGAAACGACAUGACCUUUCCUGCGAAUCGUUCUCUCCCUUUUUGGCGUGUCUCAUAAUUGCUUGGCUACGCACUUACAUACAGGUGCACACUUGGUAAGUGAAUAUAUGCGUCAGCGCUUUCAGUGUGCAUAGCCUUCACAGUCCCCUUGCUGCGCACAUUUUAGGCACCAGCCAGCCACCCAUCCCAUCAUUAAAUCACCGGAUUAAAGCAGCGACAGUAGUUCACUGAGAUCAGUUAGACAGAGGCUGCUUUCCUGUCUGAAGGCGGGAAGGGGAAUGGAAACUGCAACCAAGCGAAGCGACGAAUCAGACGACAACUGGCUGCGGAAGGUUGGACAGACCAGCAACGGGCAGCAGAAGACAGCGUGCGGGUUGGGCAAGCCGCUUCGUGAAGUAGCGGGAUAUUAUAAAAGCAAGUCCGCGAGUCGCCGUAAGCCGUACGCACCCGACACCACGACAUAGGGACCAUAUCGGCUUAAUGCCAGCGUCAUGCUUUUGGACGUGGAUAGCGACAGCUCCUUGUGUACGGCAUUCUUGGAUAACGUUGAGGACGCUUCGCCAGUCGCGUGUUUUUACACACGUUACGUAUCGCGCUUUCAUGCAUUCGUUAAAGACGAAAAUGCAUUACUUAUGUUUCAUUGCAGAAGAUACCUGCAUGUGGGAACUCCGGUUCGGCGUUCGUGGGUUUGCUCACCGGCAACAUACAGGGAUUGUAAGACAGAGCUGGAGUAAAGGGCUGGUACAACAUGAGUCGAUGCGGGUGCUCACCACCACUUGCGCCAGGCACAAACGUGUCAGUCUGAGAAAUGAUGAUGAGAGACAAGCAGAAGGGCUUUAAGACUAGCAGGGUUCAAGACCCACAACGUUUGCAACGCACGCUCGUCUGCCUGUCGGCCAACUCCAGGACUCAGGUUCAUUCUGACUGUCUGUCAAUCUCAGGUUUCUUGGCGGAGUCUAUCUGUCUAUUUGGCCAAUACCAUGCCUGUCGACACAUCUACACCUAUGGGGCUAUGUUUGGAUUUUAGCUAUACAAUAAAGAUAAAACAUGCUGCAUGUUUUAAGAAAGUGCAGCACUUUCUUUGGUUAAGAUUGUCUUCGCUGUUCCUCUUGUCUGAUCUCAGAAGUAAUUUUCAUCAUUGCAACGACGACGGCGAUUUGCAGCAGCGCCGCACAAUAAAUGUACCCUGCUUUUCGAAAUGUUGUAAAAAUCCUGGUGCCGUUGCGUGAUGCACGUUGAGCAAAGCAACCUUAGUAUGAUUCGUUACACGUAAUUAAGCGAACAAUUAUAUCAGUUUUAAGGAAGGAGCGUUUAAGCAAUCAUAAACAGACAAGUCGUCCAGAUCGUACGGCUUGUCCUAUAGCAAGUUCAAACUGAGACUGACACUAUUCCACAAGACGUAUAAUUUGAGGCCUGUAGAGUAUUGCGUUACGUGAGUUUGGCAUGCGACCCCAAACUUCACAGGACAUGAUGGAGGCGAUGGACGCGAUACAGGCGAAAAUGUGCAAGGUUAAGGAUGAAAUAGCGGCCGUGGAUGAACAGAUAGUGGCGUGCACGGACAGAGACACAUUAACAGACUUACGCGAUAAGGUAAAGCAGCUAAGCGAGAAGUUACAGCUGCUACGCGAGGAGGAGCUCAAUUUGCAGCGCAACUGUGAGUUGUGUAAGCGCAUAGCUUGGGGUCAUGGCGAGGUUUGUGCAGACCCGGGGUUUAAAUCGUAGCAUUAAAGUUACGAGUUACACGUUCUGCACAAGUGCGGAGGCCGCCCUUAAAGGCCAGGGAGGCGAUGGCGUUCAAUUGUCACUCAUGUGAGGACAUCCUUAACUCAGUCCGUAUGUAGACAGCAACUUGUGUCAGACUUUUUGAUCCAUAGCGGAAGAGCAUUAUUGUGGUACAUCCAUCAUGUCGGAACCCCCUCACAGUUGGCAAGCGGUUUGUUCCUUGACUGGGCAUUUCAGUCUAACCCCUAUUGUUGAGGUACUAUUGACCUGUUUAUUGCCACCUUGAGUCUAAGCCGUCUGGUGGCUUUGGUAGCUGCAUGCCCUUCCGACUUAGUGCAUGCUAAACGGCCAAGUCCACGGCUUCUACCGCAGUGGUUAUGGACGAGAAUGCCACGCGCUUGUUUGCUACGCUGCAUGCGAUGCAUGGUCUUGGAGUUCUGAACCGUUAGUAAGCUUUAUGAUCCUUUACACACCUCUGCCAUUUCGUGACAAAUGACCUACCUGCGUAUUGCACCCUCGUUUUUUCUUGACAUGCAGCUGCGUCGACUGCUGUCCCGAAACCGCGUUUCACCAUUGGUGAGUUCGCCUCAUUUUUACGUUACUUUUUGGAGCUGAAUGCUUUCUAUCCCCAUUUCCUUACAGUAAGUAGUGAAGCGCUAAUCCGACAGUGGUAAAUUUGAAGUUCGAUUCUGAGGAGGGAAACUUGCACUGCAAUCCAAUAGAUAUUUUUCCUGAGUCUCAUAUCUGUGGUAAUACUCAGUGUUUUUUAAAAAGGUUACUAGUGACCAAGUGGUUAUUGAG